GAUGAACGCUGGCGGCGUGCCUAAUACAUGCAAGUCGAGCGAACGGACGAGAAGCUUGCUUCUCUGAUGUUAGCGGCGGACGGGUGAGUAACACGUGGAUAACCUACCUAUAAGACUGGGGUAACUUCGGGAAACCGUAGCUAAUACCGGAUAAUAUUUUGAACCGCAUGGUUCAAAAGUGAAAGACGGUCUUGCUGUCACUUAUGGAUGGAUCCGCGCUGCAUUAGCUAGUUGGUAAGGUAACGGCUUACCAAGGCAACGAUGCAUAGCCGACCUGAGAGGGUGAUCGGCCACACUGGAACUGAGACACGGUCCAGACUCCUACGGGAGGCAGCAGUAGGGAAUCUUCCGCAAUGGGCGAAAGCCUGACGGAGCAACGCCGCGUGAGUGAUGAAGGUCUUCGGAUCGUAAAACUCUGUUAUUAGGGAAGAACAUAUGUGUAAGUAACUGUGCACAUCUUGACGGUACCUAAUCAGAAAGCCACGGCUAACUACGUG
rnacentral:rRNA from 1 species